rnacentral:rRNA from 1 species
UACGUAGGGGGCGAGCGUUGUCCGGAUUCAUUGGGCGUAAAGAGCGUGUAGGCGGCCAUGUAGGUCCGGUGUGAAAACUCGAGGCUUAACCUCGAGAUGUCAUCGGAAACCAUUUGGCUAGAGUCCGGAAGAGGAGAGUGGAAUUCCCUGGUGUAGCGGUGAAAUGCGCAGAUAUCAGGAAGAACACCAAUGGCGAAAGCAGCUCUCUGGGACGGUACUGACGCUGAGACGCGAAAAGCGUGGGGAGCGAACAGG